UGAGGAAUAUUGGUCAAUGGGAGAGAUCCUGAACCAGCCAAGCCGCGUGAGGGAAGACGGCCCUAUGGGUUGUAAACCUCUUUUGUCGGAGAACAAAACCCGGGACGUGUCCCGGACUGCGUGUAUCCGAAGAAAAAGCAUCGGCUAACUCCGUGCCAGCAGCCGCGGUAAUACGGAGGAUGCGAGCGUUAUCCGGAUUUAUUGGGUUUAAAGGGUGCGCAGGCGGCGAGUUAAGUCAGCGGUAAAAUUUCGGGGCUCAACCCCGGCCCGCCGUUGAAACUGGCAGUCUCGAGUUGGAGAGAAGUAUGCGGAAUGCGCGGUGUAGCGGUGAAAUGCAUAGAUAUCACGCAGAACUUCGAUUGCGAAGGCAGCAUACCGGCGCCCAACUGACGCUGAAGCACGAAAGCGUGGGUAUCGAACAGG
rnacentral:rRNA from 1 species